CAUACUUGUUUUGAUCGGGGUUGAACAGAACGAUCAAUGUGCUUAAAUGAUGCAGGACGUCUUCUUUGCAUUCGUGGGAUAUGCAGUAGCGUGCUAUGGAACCCCAACUGUGUAUUUUCUUGUUCUGUUUGGCAGUAAUCUUUUUACUCAUCAUUUUGUGGAUCUGUCUCUUUACCAGUAGCUGGACGUGGCCAAACCUUUGUGACUCACUCAACAUGAGAGCUGCACACUGAAGUAUCCGUUGCCUCUCAUUGGUCUUCUCUUGUGCCGACUCAGGGGUGUAUCUUGAGAUUACAUUGAAGAUAUCAUAAAGACAGUGAUAUCCAACCCGAACUUGCGCACUGUGCCAUGCAAAAAUGAAGAAACUGUCAGCUGUGAGUGAAGUCGAUCAUCAUAUGCAGUAGUGUGUGUGUGUGUAUCCAGAAUGCAAGCAUUAAGAGAGAGAGAGAGAGAGAGAGAGAGAUGCAAAUGCAAUGCGUCAUCAUAUAUAUAUUGAAUAAUGUGGAUAGCAGUAGUAUAUACUAGCUAGAGGCAGGCGAGUGAGAGGUACUACUCACAUGUUCAUGUAGCCCGAGGUGUAAGCUAUAGGUACAGUGGGCGUGAGGAAUGUUGGUAUGUGUUCAUCGUUGAAUCUGAACCAGCAAGAACCAGUUUUGAAAGCAACAAAGUAUAGGUCGCUGUCCCUGAAGAGCAGACGAACACGAGCACCAUCUGUGUCGACGACGCCCACAAUGUGGAACGUGGUAACAUCUUGAGGUCUGGCGAUCGCCGCCGGGUGGUCGGAGGUGUCACCGGCGCCCCGGCCAGCGUCAUGCAACAGAUACGUUUCAUGCGCCUGUAUCUCUUCAUCAUUAGCUUGUGGUACGAUCGCACAUUAGCGUUGACGCCAAUGGAGAACGCAUCCAACUUACUCUGCAUUCAUUCAUUAUUUCUUAAUUUCAUUCAUUCAUCGAGAGUUGGAAUUUAAAAUGCUACAUGCAACUACUGGCUACUGCAUGCAGCGAGUUAAUUUAAUAUUCAUGCCUACGUUUGUGAGUAUAGUACGCAUGCAUCCAUGUAUAAUAGAGCGAACGAGGCGAGGAGACGACACUAAUUGAUUAAGUAUUACUAGUGCAGAUCGAGCUAGUAAUUGAUUGACGCACCAAUAUUAUAAUACUACUAGUAGCUAGCUAGUACUCCUAAAAUGGUAAUGCAUGCAGUAGCAGUAGUACGUACGUGAUCGGAGAAAGCUAGCGGAAAGAAAUUAAACGAAAUUAAGAACAUAUCUAUAUAAAAUGCAACCUAAUUAAAAUGAGUAGUAGAUAGAAAUUAUUAACAUAUCUAUAAUGCAAGCUAAUUAAGUAGCUAAUUCAAUAGGUGGAAAUUAGCUAAUGCAUGAUAUCAUAUCCAUAUAUACUACUCAUUAUUGACAAGAAGC
rnacentral:sRNA from 1 species